rnacentral:rRNA from 1 species
AGUGAACGCUGGCGGUAGGCCCAACACAUGCAAGUCGAACGGCAGCACAGGAGAGCUUGCUCUCUGGGUGGCGAGUGGCGGACGGGUGAGGAAUACAUCGGAAUCUACUUUUUCGUGGGGGAUAACGUAGGGAAACUUACGCUAAUACCGCAUACGACCUACGGGUGAAAGCAGGGGACCUUCGGGCCUUGCGCGAUUGAAUGAGCCGAUGUCGGAUUAGCUAGUUGGCGGGGUAAAGGCCCACCAAGGCGACGAUCCGUAGCUGGACUGAGAGGAUGAUCAGCCACACUGGAACUGAGACACGGUCCAGACUCCUACGGGAGGCAGCAGUGGGGAAUAUUGGACAAUGGGCGCAAGCCUGAUCCAGCCAUACCGCGUGGGUGAAGAAGGCCUUCGGGUUGUAAAGCCCUUUUGUUGGGAAAGAAAUCCAGCUGGCUAAUACCCGGUUGGGAUGACGGUACCCAAAGAAUAAGCACCGGCUAACUUCGUGCCAGCAGCCGCGGUAA